UACGUAGGGUGCGAGCGUUAAUCGGAAUUACUGGGCGUAAAGCGUGCGCAGGCGGUUGUGCAAGACAGGUGUGAAAUCCCCGGGCUUAACCUGGGAACUGCACUUGUGGCUGCACGGCUGGAGUGCGGCAGAGGGGGAUGGAAUUCCGCGUGUAGCAGUGAAAUGCGUAGAUAUGCGGAGGAACACCGAUGGCGAAGGCAAUCCCCUGGGCCUGCACUGACGCUCAUGCACGAAAGCGUGGGGAGCAAACAGG
rnacentral:rRNA from 1 species